ACGAACGCUGGCGGCGUGCUAAUACAUGCAAGUCGAGCGCGGGAAGCAAGCAGAUCUCCUUCGGGGGUGACGCUUGUGGAACGAGCGGCGGACGGGUGAGUAACACGUGGGCAACCUACCUGUAAGACUGGGAUAACUCCGGGAAACCGGGGCUAAUACCGGAUGAUACAUAUCGUCGCAUGACGAGAUGUUGAAAGGCGGCAUAUGCUGUCACUUACAGAUGGGCCCGCGGCGCAUUAGCUAGUUGGUGAGAUAAAAGCUCACCAAGGCGACGAUGCGUAGCCGACCUGAGAGGGUGAUCGGCCACACUGGGACUGAGACACGGCCCAGACUCCUACGGGAGGCAGCAGUAGGGAAUCUUCCGCAAUGGACGAAAGUCUGACGGAGCAACGCCGCGUGAGUGAUGAAGGUUUUCGGAUCGUAAAACUCUGUUGUUAGGGAAGAACAAGUGCCAUUCGAAUAGGUUGGCACCUUGACGGUACCUAACCAGAAAGCCCCGGCUAACUACGUGCCAGCAGCCGCGGUAAUACGUAGGGGGCAAGCGUUGUCCGGAAUUAUUGGGCGUAAAGCGCGCGCAGGCGGUCCUUUAAGUCUGAUGUGAAAGCCCACGGCUUAACCGUGGAGGGCCAUUGGGGAAAACUGGGUGGACUUGGAGUACAGACAGAGGAGCAGUGGGAAUUUCCAACGUGGUAAGCCGGGUGAAAAUGCGUAGCAGCUGUUGGGACGGAAACACCAGUGGGCGAAAGGGCGAACUCUCUGGGUCUGUAAACUGACGCCUUGAGGUGGCGAAAAGCGUGGGUACCGAACAGGGAUUAGAUUCCUGGGUAGUCCACCCGGUAA
rnacentral:rRNA from 1 species